rnacentral:lncRNA from 1 species
GAGGGAGGGAGGGUUGGAGGGUUGAGCCAGAGACCCGGGACCCCGUCCCCGCACACCUGCCAGUGCCCCGUAGCUUCGGCCGCGGGCACUGGCAGGAGAUGAAAGGCUGCUGCCGCCCGGUCGGAAGGACAUCGGCGCCCCCCAGGCCCGGUCCCCGCCCCAGUUCCUCGGGCCUUUCCUGCUGCCCCUGCCUGCGAGGGCCGACGACACGGAGAACAGGAUCCUGCGCCCAACCCAGGAGCAGUUGGGUGAGGAGCACCAGAAAUUCAAUGCUCCCUGGUGCUGCAUCCCCAGAGCCCUCCCAGCCUAAGAAGCCCCAUCUUUCUGUCUCCACGCAUGGAGAGCUGCAGCUGUGAGGCCCAGGACCCUUAGCAGGACAUGCAGAGCUGGGCAGGGACCCAGGCUCAUGCUCCCAGCGUGGGAGACCCUGGGGCUGGGUGUGGUGGCUCACGCCUGUAAUCCUAGCACUUUGGGAGGCCAAGGCAGGCGGAUCACCUGAGAUCAGGAGUUCAAGACCAGCCUGGCCAACAUGGUGAAACCCCAUCUCUACUAAAAUACAAAAAUUAGCUGGGCAUGAUGACGGGUGCCUGUAAUCCCAGCUACUCAGGAGGCUGAAACAGGAGAAUCAGUUGAACCCAGGAGACGGUGGUUGCAGUGAGCCAAGAUUGUGCCACUGCACUCCAGCCUAGGUGGCUGAGCGAGACUCCAUCUCAAAAAAAUAAAUAAAAGGAGACCCUGACUGGAUGUAGUGGCUCAUGCCUUAAUCCCAGCACUUUUGGAGGCCAAGGCAGGAGGAUCACUUGAGGCCAAAAGUUUGAGACCAGCCUGGGCAACAUAGCAAGACCCCGUCUCUUAAAAACAAAAGAUCCUAGCGGUCCUCAUCUCUACCAUGGACUACCAGAGGGAAGGCAGCGCCUCUCAUCACCCAGGGGGAUGGCCUCCAGUCAGCUGGGUGGGGAACACAGAGCCCUGCCCAGAGGCUUGAACCUGGCACCACAGGGGUCUGGAAUUACACAGAAGACAGGUGACAGCCAAGGUGGAUCAUGAACGGUGAGAAGUCCAGCAGGUGACAAGAGGAAGGGUCUAAAGGGUGGAGGGCACAGCGCAAGCAAAGUCUUGGCAACAAAAGAGCUAAUGCAUCCCAGAAAUGGGGCAGGUGGAGUACUGGAAGCUACACCAAGCUUCAGAGUGGUCCUGUGGCCUCGGUGUGGUAGCUCAGGCCUAUAAUUCCAACACUUUGGGAGGCUGAGGCAGGAGGAUAACUUGAACCCAGGAGUUCAAGAUCAGCCUGGGCAACAUAGUGAGACCUCCAUUUUUACAAAAAAUACAAAAA